rnacentral:rRNA from 1 species
UACAGAGGGUGCGAGCGUUGUUCGGAAUUAUUGGGCGUAAAGGGCGCGUAGGCGGCUUGGCAAGUGGAAGGUGAAAUCCCUCGGCCUUAACCGAGGAACUGCCCUCCAAACUGCUUCGCUUGAGACCGGGAGAGGUGAGUGGAAUUCCCAGUGUAGCGGUGAAAUGCGUAGAUAUUGGGAGGAACACCAGUGGCGAAGGCGGCUCACUGGACCGGUACUGACGCUGAGGCGCGAAAGCGUGGGGAGCAAACGGG